rnacentral:rRNA from 1 species
UACGUAGGGUGCAAGCGUUGUCCGGAAUUAUUGGGCGUAAAGAGCUCGUAGGCGGUUUGUCACGUCGGAUGUGAAAACCCCGAGGCUUAACCUCGGGCCUGCAUUCGAUACGGGCUGACUAGAGUUCGGUAGGGGAGACUGGAAUUCCAGGUGUGAGCGGUGGAAAUACGGUAGAUAUCUGGAGGAAUACCGGUGGCGAAGGCGGCAUCCGUGGACCGACAUUGACGCUGAUGAGCGAAAGCUAGGG